CUUUCUUUCUUUCUUUGGUAAUCCUGGAUUCAUGAGGCUGUGAUGAUACUGUUCUCUUUCUCUCUGAGCGGAUUUAUCGGGCAAGGGCUAUCCGACCCGUAUCUUGGCGGGGCGAACAGGCUACCCGGCUUCUUUGCAGCCAUGGCUGUGUAGGAAUAACCCUUUGCCCGGCACCAAAUCUGAGCCUUGAUCAUCGUAAGCCCAGUCGGAAUCGAAUCGGCGACAGAGAAGACCCGUAGCUUGGCGGAUUUUGCUGCCAUGGUUGCGUGGUUCAGAUCUGGGCAGUAUUGGUGGAAGUUUUGAUGGAAUACACCCCCCUAGGGCUGCGAUUAGUUCAACAAGGCUGUGAUGAUGUUUUCAAGUUCAAAUCUGAGCGUCACAGCUGCAGUAGCUAUGCUGAUGAUUGCAUGAAUCGAACCUGGGUCUCAUGGUUUAUAAAACCUGUUCUGAUGUCUUUUUUGGUUGGAUUUUCAGCUGAAAAGAAUGGAGAUUUCAGUGCUGAGAUUUUUUUAUGGCCAUGGGCCCAUGGUGUGGGGUGCUUAUCAAUUUGUUUGGCAUCUUGUGAAAUCUCUGUUGUGAGAAUGAGGCUCAAAUUCAGAGAGGCAUGGGAGUUCUUAAGGGUGGUUGCCCCUCUCUGAAACAUAGCCACUGAUUUCAUCACAAUCAGCAAAUUGCGAAACACCCCUUUUUGGUGAAUUAUACACACAAAUAUAUAAUGAGCAUAUAAUAUAAACUAUAAACAUGUUGUCUAGCUAUCAGCUUGAACUUUAGCUGAGACAAAAAAAACAUCUUCCUUCUUCAAUUAUAUACAUAUACUGAUUUGAACUAAA